rnacentral:tRNA from 1 species
GGCAGGAUAGCUCAGGGGUAGAGCGGAGGAUUCAUAAGCCUUAGGUCCGGAGUUCAAAUCUCCGUCCUGCUACCA